AACCCCUUUUAUCAAUAAUGCUGAGUCCUCCACGAAAGAUGCUGAUUAUGAUUGUUACAAUUUCUCACAGCAUAAAUGGGAGA